GCACAGCAGUGGUGACUUAAAUGCAUUAUGGAUUCCACAGCCACUUCAUUCGAGCCAGCAUAUUCUUGGAAGAUGAUACGUAGAAGGCUGUGGCUUAAAGGGGUACUCCGGUGGCCAAUGUGUUUUUUCAGUUUUUACAUACCCUUGCAGGGGUGUGAAAAAGGGGCAAAACCAUUGCAGGAGAAAAAAAAACAGCAGCGCCUGCAGCACUGACGUCUUGUCCACAACAGUGAACAAACAUGGCCGCAGGUGUGGACGACAAUCAAAAGCAACCAGAAAAACUACUGAACUUCCCUCACAGAAUAGACGUCAGUAAAAAACAGAUAUGCUGUAGACAAAUGUUUAACAUGUGAAUUACAAAAGUGCUAAACUCACUACAAACACGCUAAAUAACCAUAAAACUGUGGUACCGGAGUACCCCUUUAAUAUGAUGCCGUAAAAAAGGCUUCUUGUGCGUGCAAUGUGAAUCCACACAGGUUUCUGAGCCCAACCCUUUGAGUCCAUAUUCCCAGCUGUGGACAUAGCAAGUAGGGUUGGGCGGUAUACCGGUUCAUACCGAAUACUGACAUUUUUGUGCUGCACGAUAUG